rnacentral:rRNA from 1 species
AGGACGAACGCUGGCGGCGUGCCUAACACAUGCAAGUCGAGCGGUAAGGCCUUUCGGGGUACACGAGCGGCGAACGGGUGAGUAACACGUGGGUGAUCUGCCCUGCACUUCGGGAUAAGCCUGGGAAACUGGGUCUAAUACCGGAUAUGACCUCCUAUCGCAUGGUGGGUGGUGGAAAGAUUUAUCGGUGCAGGAUGGGCCCGCGGCCUAUCAGCUUGGUUGGUGGGUAAUGGCCUACAAGGCGACGACGGUAGCCGACCUGAGAGGGUGACCGGCCACACGUGGGACUG